rnacentral:lncRNA from 1 species
CGAGCGGUUCCCACGUACGGCUUCCAUGGCCUUCUCCCCGUACAGCUCUGCAUCCGUAGAACUUGCAAAGGAAUAUACGAGAAGAAAAAUGGGCUAACAGAAUACAGCAAAAUGACAGCGAGAAAAUAUAAUUUUAUUUUUUUGUAAAUUCAGGCUAUAAAAAGCCUUGCUUGUACCCCAUGUAUUUUUACUUAUGCACAGUAGACGCAUACUAGGCAUACAGUAUAGAAGAAAAGCAAUAAAAUUAACAAAGGUGAUUUCAUACCUUUUCUUUUCUCUUUCGACUUUUUUUUAAUUUAUUUUCUUCUUAGUUUGCUCAUUUUUUUUAUGCAACUUGAGGCCGAUGAGAGCCCUAAAUUUUUCUGCAAUGCGGAUAUAUGGGGGAGAGGUCAAGUAACAGUGAAAGUUCAUUUACUCUACGAACCUAUUCUUGUUUUUUUUUUCUUUAAAAAAUAACAUGAGAUUUGAGUACUCCAUUCAAACAAAGAAGAAGAGGAGAAAGAUAUACUUACUAAAUCCUUUUAAAGCAUGUUUGAAUGCCUUCAAUGGGGAGGAUGGGUACCGUUUGCAUGCUGUUGAUCACCAAAACAAUGGUGAUUUGGCUGCUAGCGAAGGAAACCCUAUUAAUUUAAUUUUGAAGCUGUGAUUUUCAGCCAAAUUGUGGGCAGCGUUUUUGGGAAGGAAUAAGGAAAGAAAGGUCUUAAAUGACCUGUUAUUGAAACGGCGUCGGUUCAGACAAGGGGGUUAGCGUGUCAACCCAUUUGGAGACCCGGAUCCACCUUUUGCGCCUAAUAUUGGUUUAUUUAUGCAUUAGGUCCUUCCUUUUUUGUGCCACAUUCCGAUUAUCCCCUGAUUGCAACUCACCAGUUUUUUAAAAUUUCCCCAAACAUUUGCGCAUUUUUGCAAUCGAAUCUGCACUGCAACAUUAUGCUUUGAGGCCUGGACAAUUCUCCAUUCUAGUCCCUAUAUGUUCGCACGCAUUGCACAUUAAUCCCAUUUAUGAUUACUUUAUUCGUAAAUUGACCCUCUUGUUUUAAUUUUGUUUUAAUUAAGUUUGUAAAACACUGUAUAUUCACGUUCUAUUAUUUUGAUAAUUUGUAUAUUAUUUGCAAUAAAGUUCAUUCUAAUUUAUGUAUGCUAUUAAUUUUAUGUCGUUUUGUAUUUUUUUUUUGAAUUUAUUUACACAUUUUUAAUAUUUAUAUUCGUUUAUUUUAUGUGUCAUUUAAGUUAUCAUUAGGCAUAUAUUUUAGCAUUUAUAUAUUUAAUUUACAUACAUUAUAUGAGCCAUGUUAUUCUUAUACAUAUAUUUUUUUUAAUAAACUUGUAUAUAAUGGUGUUUUUAAAAUUAUUAUGCAUAUAAUCUAUAAUAAAAUUAAGUUAAUUUUAUAAUCCAAAUUUUAAUUCUAUGUUAUUUAAAUAUACAAUUAUUUCUAAAGUGUCUUCACAUGUAUAACACAUAUUAAAUUAUUUUUAAUAUGGUGCAUGUUAUUAUCCUCAUAUAACUUCAUGUAAAUAUUUUUCUAUGUAUAUAUCCUAUUUUAAAGUUAUUUAUGUGUAUAAUAUAUUUCUUUUGAGAACCAUAUUUUAAAUCGUACCACUUAUAUAUUGUAUACACUCUCAUAUUUUAUUAUCCUUAUACAUGUAUUAUUUAUGUAUGUUUCAUCAAUCCAAAUUAAUUUGUUACAUGUAAAAUUAUGUUAUAUAUUAUUUGUUUUAAAUUUCCCUUUAUAAAUAUAGUUUUAUGAAUAUACAUCACUAAAUUUAUGUAUUUUGUAAAUAUAGUUUUUUUACCUUUUUUACACGACGAAUCAGGAAGAAAGGAAAAUGCAAUAUAUUACCUCAGUAAGAAAUUCACUAAGUGUGAGUUGAGAUAUUCGCCAAUUGAAAAAUUAUGUUGAGCUUUGGUUUGGACAGCACGAAGAUUGAGGCAAUAUAUGUUGUAUCAUACAACCUGACUAAUCUCAAAUUUGGAUCCUUUAAAGUAUAUGAUGGAGUCAAAUGCCUUGAAUGGAAGGAUGGCUAUGUGGCAAAUUUUGCUUUCUAAAUUUGACAUAAUCUACAUGAGUCAAAAAGCUGUAAAGGGGAGCGCAAUAGCAGAUUUUCUGGCUAGCCGAGCUCUAGAAGAUUAUGAGCCCUUGAAUUUUGAUUCCCCCAGUGAAGAGAUAAUGUAUGUGGCAGGUGCUGAAGAGGACAAUACAAAAGGUCACUGUUGGAAAUUGAAUUUUGACGGAGACUCAAAUGCUGUGGGUAAUGGAGUUGGGGCAGUCCUAGUAUCCCCAGGUGGAAAUCAUUAUCCAUUCACAUGUAAAUUGGAUUUUGAUUGUACGGAUAAUAUGGCAGAAUAUGAAGCAUGUAUCAUGGGGCUCAGAGCAGCUAUAGAGCGCAAGAUCAAAUCAUUAGAAGUAAUGGAGAUUCUGUAUUGGUAAUUUACCAACUUCGAGGUGAAUGGGAGACAAAAGAUUCCAAGCUAAUCAAUUAUAGAAGGCUAGUGUUGAGGUUAGUUGAAGAGUUUGAUGAUAUUACUUUCAAUUAUCUUCCUCGCGAUGAAAACCAGAUGGCAGAUGCUUUGGCUACUUUGGCUUGCAUGAUCAAAAUAAGCAGACAAGAAGAUGUGAAGCCCAUUCAAAUGAGUAUCUAUGAGGCCCCGUCUUAUUGUUAUAAUAUAGAGGAAGAAGAAAGAGAUGAUCAUCCUUGGUAUCAGAAUAUAUUGCGAUAUGUGAGAAAUCGUGAAUAUCCAGAUCAAGCCAUGGAGAAUGACAAAAGAACGAUGAGAAGGCUCGCCUGUGACUAUGUUUUAGAUGGAGAGAUCCUAUACAAAAGAAGGAAGGAUCAGGUAUUGUUGAGAUGUGUGGACGCCGUAGAAUCCAAGAAAAUUUUAGAAGAGGUGUAUGAAGGAGUUUGUGGAACACAUGCUAAUGGGUUCACAAUGGCCAGACAAAUUAUAAGGUUUAGGUAUUAUUAGUCCACCAUGGAAGGAGACUGCAUCAAUUAUGCUAAGAAAUGUCACAAAUGUCAAAUUUAUAGUGAUAAGAUUCACGUACCUCCCUCGCCUUUGCAUGUUAUGACUUCCCCAUGGCCAUUUUCCAUAUGGGGCAUGGAUGUCAUAAGGCCAAUUUCACCAAAGGCUUCAAAUGGAUAUCGUUUCAUUUUUGUGGUCAUUGAUUAUUUUACCAAGUGAGUGGAAGCUGCUUCGUACUCCAAUGUGACUAAAUCGACAGUCAGUAGAUUCUUAAAGAAAGAAAUUAUAUGUCGAUAUGGAACGCCUGAGAAGAUCAUAUCUGAUAAUGCACUGAAUUUGAACAAUAGUACAAUAGAAGAGGUCUGCAGACAGUUUAAAAUCAGAUAUCAUAACUCGUCACCAUAUUGUCUGAAGAUGAAUAGGGCAGUGGAAGCAGCCAACAAAAAUAUCAAGAAGAUUGUGGGGAAAAUGACUGAAACUUACAAAGAUUGGCAUGAGAAGUUGCCAUUUGCUCUUUAUGCUUAUCGAACAUCUGUCAGAACUUCUACUGGGGCAACACAUUUUUCAUUGGUCUAUGGAAUGGAAGCAGUUCUACCUAUUGAAGUGGAGAUACCUUCUCUUCGAGUUUUGUCAGAAUUGAAAUUAGAUGAAGUAAAUGGAUACUGUCUCGAUAUGAUCAGUUGAAUUUGAUUGAAGAAAAGAGGCUAAAGGCUAUUCAGCAUGGACAAAUGUAUCAAAAAAGAAUGAUGCGGGCUUAUGACAAAAAGAUUCGCCCAAGAGAGUUUCAUGAGGGAGAUUUGGUUUUGAAGAAAAUUCUUCCCAUACAAAAGGAUUUCAAAGGAAAAUGGAUGCCGAAUUGAGAGGGGCCUUAUGUGGUGAAGAAAACUUUCUCUGGUGGUGCAUUAAUCUUGGCCGAAAUGGAUGGAAGAAAUUUGUCUAAUCCAGUGAACUUGGAUUCAGUCAAAAAGUACUACACUUAACAAGGGAGGGAAGCCAAAGUGAAAACCCGCAAAGGGCGCUUUGAGACUCAAUAAUAAAAAAAAAGAGAAAAAUGAGAGGCCAAGGUGAAAACCCGCAAAGGGCGCCUUGUGAUCAAAAGGGAUUUGAGUUGAAAACCCGAAAAAGGCGGCUCAAAUAUGAAUCCAAAGUGAGAAGACUGUGAUCUUGUUAUACUUGAAUUAAUCAUGAAGGGGAUAUGUUACAUCUUGGGGCAUUGACAAAGUGUUUCUGAUCUCUUAAACACAUGUCAAGUUUGAAUUGGUCUUCAAGAAAUUUGUACAGAGAAGCUCAGGUUGCGAUAAUAAGGGUACCUAGUCUUCAUUUUCAGUAAAUUGGUUAUCUUUGAAUUAUCAUUUCUUUUCCAAGAUAUACAUUCCCAAAUUAAUGGCCAUUGUUGUUCUUACUUUUAAAUUUAAGAUUAAUUAUAUUCUUAUUCAUUAUCACGAUUUGAUUGCAAGCAUGUUGCAUUGACAUAAUGAUGAAUGAACUAGUGAUGUUUUCACAAUAAAAGUUUUGCAUAUUACUCUAGGAGUUUCUAAAUAAUACAAGAAUUUGAAGUGGAAUAAUUGUUUAGAAUACGCUCAAGUUCAAGGAUAUAUUUGGGUAAAUCGCCUUUUUGAGAUCUCUGUCCAAAUGAUGAUGGAGCAAACAGGCAGGAUAUAGUAUUGAUGAUGCAAUUUUAUUCUCGAGAAAAAGGAAAUGACGUUUUGUAUUAUACAAAGAGCAAAAAUACACACUUGGGCUAUAACACCUGAGGAGUGAAGUAGCAAAUUGGCCAAAGGAAAAUUCAACUAUGAGUUGUAAUGUUUUGUCUCAAAAAGAGUGUAAAAGGGAUGUUGAAAUUACAGUGGGGCAAGCUCGCCAAACAUGAUAGGUUUUCCUUUAGGAUACUCCGUCAAGAUGAUGGUUGAACAAACGCGUCAGUAACAACAUAUUAAUGAACAAUGAGUGACGAUACCCUAAAUUGUUAAAAUGGAAUCAUCCUCAUUUCUGCAUAUAUCAUUCAUAACACAUUUAGUUAGGAACAUUUGGUUCAUUUUGAUUAUGGCAUCCAAAUUAUUUGACAUAAGCAUCACAUUUAGUUAGGAGCAUUUGGUUCAUUUUGAUCAUGGCAUCCUAAUUAUUUGACAUAAGCAUCACAUCUAGUUAGGAGCAUUUGAUUCAUUUUGAUCAUAACAUCCAAUUAUUUGGCAUAAGCAUAUAAAAUGAAGUCUACAUGAUAGGUUUCCCAGAGGACAAUAUAGCAACAUGAGUAAAAAUUGAAGAUCUUAUCCCCCUGAAGUUGCAGCGGAGUAGAUCUUCGCAGAUGGUGAAUCUUAUCUCCAUGUAUCGGUAAUGGAGCAGAUUUUACCACUAACCUCAUCUCUCUGAGGUAGCAAGAGAGCAGGUUGAAGAGUGAGUCUUAUCUUCUUGAGGUAGCAAGGAAGCAGACUGAGAAUUGAAGAUUUUAUCUCUCUAAACAGUAGCGGAGCAAAUCGAAAAUGGUGAAUCUUAUUUCCAUGUAUCGGCAAUGGAGUAGAUUUUACCACUAACCUUAUUUCUCUGAGGUAGCAAGAGAGCAGGUUGAGGAAUGAGUCUUAUCUUCUUGAGGUAGCAAGGAAACAGACUGAGAAUUAAAGAUCUUAUCUCCCUAAAGUUACAGCGGAGCAGAUCUUUACAGAUGGUGAAUCUUAUCUCCAUGUAUCAGCAAUGGAGCAGAUUUUACCACCAAGCCUUAUCUCUCUGAGGUAGCAAGAGAGCAGGUUGAAGAAUAAGUCUUAUCUUCCUGAAGUAGCAAGGAAACAGACUGAAGAUUGAAAAUUUUAUCUCCCUGAGAUUGCAGCGGAGCAGAUCUUCGCUGAUGGUGAAUCUUAUCUCCAUGUAUCGACAAUGAAGCAGAUUUUACCACCAAGCCUUAUCUCACUGAGGGAGUAAGAGAACAGGUUGAAGAAUGAGUCUUAUCUUCCUAAGGUAGCAAGGAAGCAGACUGAGAAUUAAAGAUCUUAUCUCCCUGAAGUUGCAGCGGAGUAGAUCUUCACAGAUGGUGAAUCUUAUCUCCAUGUAUCGGCAAUGGAGAAGAUUUUACCAUCAAGCCUUAUCUCUCUGAGGUAGCAAGAGAGCAGAUUGAAGAAUAAGUCUUAUCUUCCUGAGGUAGCAAGGAAACAGACUGAGAAUUGAAGAUUUUAUAUCCCUGAGAUUGCAGAGGAACAGAUCUUCGCAGAUUGUGAAUCUUAUUUCCAUGUAUCAGCAAUGGAGCAGAUUUUACCUCCAGCCUCAUCUCUCUGAAGUAGCAAGAGAGCAGGUUGAAGAAUAAGUAUUGUCUUCCUGAGGUAGCAAGGAAGCAGACUGAUGGUUGAGGAUCUUAUCUCCCUGAAGUGGCAAUGGAGCAGAUUGAAAAUGGUGAAUCUUAUCUCCAUGUAUCAGCAAUAGAGCAGAUUUAACCUAUCAACCUCAUCUUCCUAAAGGUGUUUGGAAAGGAGAAGCGCCAAAAAGCUAAAAUUCAACAAGACCGAGCAAAAUCGGUUCUUUUGAAGUCUUUGAUCUAUUCCUGUUACACGUCAAUAAGCAAAGAAGGGCAGCUGUAGUCAACAAUUUUGCCCGGGCCCAUUUAAUUGCAAAUAAAUAAACCCAAAUAAAUAAAUAAAGUCCAAGACUAAAUAGUCCAAAAAGUUCAUUUACAAUUUUCAAAAUACUAAAAUAAACCCACAACCCUAGAACCAAUUCCAAUAGCCCAAAGUUGAGGCCAAAAAUAACCUGAAAAAGGUUCAAUCUAAGACUAAUUAAUCCAUGCCGCGGCAGUAGCCCUUCUUCUUGGCUAUUUGAGGUAAACGGAUAGAGCCCAGGCCAGAAGUUUCUAGAAUAUACGAGAGUAGCAGCAGAACGGGGUUCCCACGAGCGGUUCCCACGUACGGCUUCCAUGGCCUUCUCCCCGUACAGCUCUGCGUCCGUAGAACCUGCAAAGGAAUAUACGAAAAGAAAAAUGGGCUAACAGAAUACAGCAAAAUGAUAGCGAGAAAAUAUAAUUUUAUUUUUUUUUUGUAAAUUCAGGCUAUAAAAAGCCUUGCUUGUACCCCAUGUAUUUUUACUUAUGCACAGUAGACGCAUACUAGGCAUACAGUAUAGAAGAAAAGCAAUAAAAUUAACAGAGGUGAUUUCAUACUUUUUCUUUUCUCUUCCGACUUUUUUUUAAAUUUAUUUUCUUCUUAGUUUGCUCAUUUUUUU